rnacentral:rRNA from 1 species
UAAGGAAUAUUGGUCAAUGGGCGGAAGCCUGAACCAGCCAUGCCGCGUGCAGGAAGACGGCCCUACGGGUUGUAAACUGCUUUUGUACGGGAAUAAACCCCGGUAUGUAUACCGGGCUGAAUGUACUGUAAGAAUAAGGAUCGGCUAACUCCGUGCCAGCAGCCGCGGUAAUACGGAGGAUCCAAGCGUUAUCCGGAUUUAUUGGGUUUAAAGGGUGCGUAGGCGGCCUUGUAAGUCAGGGGUGAAAGACGGCAGCUUAACUGUCGCAGUGCCUUUGAUACUGCAGGGCUUGAAUGUACUUGAAGUGGGCGGAAUGUGACAAGUAGCGGUGAAAUGCAUAGAUAUGUCACAGAACACCGAUUGCGAAGGCAGCUCACUAAAGUAAGAUUGACGCUGAGGCACGAAAGCGUGGGGAUCAAACAGGAUUAGAUACCCCUGUAGUCC